UACGUAGGGCGCAAGCGUUAUCCGGAAUUAUUGGGCGUAAAGAGCUCGUAGGCGGUUUGUCGCGUCUGCCGUGAAAGUCCGGGGCUCAACUCCGGAUCUGCGGUGGGUACGGGCAGACUAGAGUGAUGUAGGGGAGACUGGAAUUCCUGGUGUAGCGGUGGAAUGCGUAGAUAUCUGGAGGAACACCGGUGGCGAAGGCGGCGUCCUGGACCAACACUGACACUGAGGAGCGAAAGCCAGGGGAGCAAACGGG
rnacentral:rRNA from 1 species